UACGUAGGGGGCUAGCGUUGUCCGGAUUUAUUGGGCGUAAAGAGCGUGUAGGCGGCCAGGUAGGUCUGCUGUGAAAACUCGAGGCUUAACCUCGAGAUGUCGGCGGAAACCAUCUGGCUAGAGUCCGGAAGAGGAGAGUGGAAUUCCCGGUGUAGCGGUGAAAUGCGCAGAUAUCGGGAGGAACACCAAUGGCGAAGGCAGCUCGCUGGGACGUGACUGACGCUGAGACGCGAAAAGCGUGGGGGAGCAAACAGG
rnacentral:rRNA from 1 species